rnacentral:SRP_RNA from 1 species
GGCGCAUGUUUGUAGUCCCAGCUACUCGGGAGGCUGAGGCAGGAGGAUCGCUUGAGCUCAGGAGUUCUGGGCUGUAGUGCGCUAUGCUGAUCGGGUGUCCACACUUAAGUUCGGCAUCAAUAUGGUGACCUCCCGGGAGCGGGGGACCACCAGGUUGCCUAAGGAGGGGUGAACCGGCCCAGGUCGGAAACGGGGCAGGUCAAAACUCCCGUGCUGAUCAGUAGUGGGAUCGCGCCUGUGAAUAGCCACUGCACUCCAGCCUGGGCAACAUAGCGAGACCUUGUCUCUA